CGUGACUACCUAACACUGUUGCUUCGGCGGGGAGCCCUCUCGGGGGCGAGCCGCCGGGGACUACUGAACUUCAUGCCUGAGAGUGAUGCAGUCUGAGUCUGAAUAUAAAAUCAGUCAAAACUUUCAACAAUGGAUCUCUUGGUUCCGGCAUCGAUGAAGAACGCAGCGAACUGCGAUAAGUAAUGUGAAUUGCAGAAUUCAGUGAAUCAUCGAGUCUUUGAACGCACAUUGCGCCCCCUGGCAUUCCGGGGGGCAUGCCUGUCCGAGCGUCAUUGCUGCCCAUCAAGCCCGGCUUGUGUGUUGGGUCGUCGUCCCCCCCGGGGGACGGGCCCGAAAGGCAGCGGCGGCACCGUGUCCGGUCCUCGAGCGUAUGGGGCUUUGUCACCCGCUCGAUUAGGGCCGGCCGGGCGCCAGCCGACGUCUCCAACCAUUUUCUUCAGGUUGACCUCGGAUCAGGUAGGGAUACCCGCUGAACUUAAGCAUAC
rnacentral:rRNA from 1 species